AUUGAACGCUAGCGGCAGGCCUAAUACAUGCAAGUCGGACGGGAUUUGGGAGCUUGCUCCUGAUGAGAGUGGCGCACGGGUGCGUAACACGUAUGUAACCUACCUUUACCUGGGGGAUAGCCUCUCGAAAGAGAGAUUAACACCGCACAACAUUACGUUAUAGCAUUAUAGUGUAAUCAAAUAUUUAUAGGGUAAAGAUGGGCAUGCGGAACAUUAGCUAGUUGGUAAGGUAACGGCUUACCAAGGCUACGAUGUUUAGGGGAUCUGAGAGGAUGGCCACCCACACUGGUACUGAGACACGGACCAGACUCCUACGGGAGGCAGCAGUAAGGAAUAUUGGUCAAUGGGCGGAAGCCUGAACCAGCCAUGCCGCGUGCAGGAAGACGGCCCUAUGGGUUGUAAACUGCUUUUGUACCGGAAUAAGCCUCUUUACGUGUAAAGAGCUGAAUGUACGGUGAGGAUAAGGAUCGGCUAACUCCGUGCCAGCAGCCGCGGUAA
rnacentral:rRNA from 1 species